UGUCUCGUGCUCUGAGCUUCCGGGGGAGGGGCUUCCUCAACUCUACUCGUCUGUUCCUGUGUUUUGCCCCACAAAAUCAUGGCUGGCCCUCUGAGACUGCAGGGGGCUUUAGCGCUAGUCACAGGGGGUGGCAGCGGCAUUGGGCGUGCCAUCUGCAUCCGUCUGGCCCGGGAAGGAGCACUGGUGGCCAUAGCAGACUGCGAUGAAGCAGGGGCGGCCAAGACGCUGAAGGAGCUCCAGGCAGGGGACCACGGGGCCCUGCCUGUCGAUGUCGGAUGUGCCAAGAGCGUCAGUGACCUCAUGACCCAUAUCCAGGAUCGCUUUUCCCGCCCUGCCAAUGUCUGCGUCAAUUGUGCCGGGAUCACAAUGGAUGAAUUCCUACUCAAGCAGACAGAGGAGGCGUUUGAUGCUGUUCUCAGAGUGAACCUGAAGGGGACGUUCCUGGUGACGCAGGCCGUGGCGCGGGCGCUGGUGGCAUGCGGGGCCUCCGGGGGCUCCAUCAUCAACGUGGGCAGCAUUGUGGGGAAGGUGGGGAACCUGGGACAGGUGAAUUAUGCUGCUUCCAAGGCUGGGGUGGAGGCUCUCUCCAAGACGGUGGCCAAGGAACUGGCCAGGUACAACAUCCGUUGCAACACGGUCCUGCCAGGAUUCAUCCGCUCCCCCAUGACGGACAAAGUGCCCCAGAAAGUGCUAGACAAGUUUGCAUCCAUGGUACCCCUGGGGAGGCUCGGAGAACCCGAAGGUCAGAUAUCUACACAGCACGGGAGCCUCAGGGAGGGAAGGCAGGAAUGUUGCUGAUGUUUGUGCUUUCCUGGCCUCUAAUGAGAGCCAGUACAUUACUGGAGCGAGUGUGGAGGUCACAGGGGGCCUCUUCGUCUGACACCUCCAUCUCCCCACCUCUGGAGACACUACAAGGAGCCUCCUGGGUUAACACUCCCUGACCCCCUCCCCGCAAGGAAGGACCUGGGGACCCUUCUGGGGAGUCACUGCACUUUGUGGACAACUUGAAUCCUUGGCUGAUGCUUUUUCAUUGCAAGGGGGAAGGAGGGGCUAGAGGCAAGAUGCCUGGGCCCUCUGACGAGAGAGGGAUGUCUUUACAAAGAAUGGUGCCAGAAUUAAGCCACUUGCAAUCCAGAUCUUCACCUCCAAGGGAGGACUGUAGAUUUCUGACCCCUAACGGAUUUGGGGGCAUGCAAUAACUAUGCCUGUGAACUGACGCUUGAAUGUUUGAGUUGAUCACCAUUCUGCCUUCUAAAUGAUUGAUCAAUUAAUGAAUUACUGUGAUACUAAUUUGUAUUUGAACAUUCAGGGUAAGAGACCUGAAAACUUAAUAAACAGAAGCUGGUCACUUUUGGUCAGGUGGGAAA